CAGUAGAAGUGAAAAAUUCAACAAAAAGGAAGGAAAAUAAGAAGGAGGACACAAUCUUAAAGAAGCUUCUAGAAAUGCAAGACCACUCAUUUUGAUGGAUCUUCUCAAGUUGCUAUGUACAGGUCAGAUCCUGAGUGUGAUUCUGAGAUGACAUAGAUGAAACAGAGACCAUGUUUUGUCCCCAACAUAGUGCCUGAUACAUAGGUACUCAAUAAAUAUGUAUUGAAAUGAGGCCA